UCUUAGUGGCGGACGGGUGAGUAACGCGUGGGUAACCUGCCUUACACUGGGGGAUAACACUUAGAAAUAGGUGCUAAUACCGCAUAACAGGAGAAGACGCAUGUCUUUUCCUUGAAAACUCCGGUGGUGUAAGAUGGACCCGCGUCUGAUUAGCUGGUUGGCGGGGCAACGGCCCACCAAGGCGACGAUCGGUAGCCGGACUGAGAGGUUGAUCGGCCACAUUGGGACUGAGACACGGCCCAGACUCCUACGGAAGGCAGCAG
rnacentral:rRNA from 1 species